rnacentral:rRNA from 1 species
GAUAAACGCUGGCGGCGUGCAUGAGACAUGCAAGUCGAACGAAGGAUCGGGCUUGCUCGACCCUUAGUGGCGGACGGCUGAGUAACGCGUAGGUGACCUACCCCGAAGUGGGGAAUAACUGCCCGAAAGGGUGGCUAAUACCGCAUGUGGUCGCACGUUCAUUCGUGCGAGUAAAGCCGCAAGGCGCUUCGGGAGGGGCCUGCGUCCGAUUAGCUCGUUGGUGGGGUAAUGGCUUACCAAGGCGACGAUCGGUAGGUGGUCUGAGAGGACGAUCACCCAGACUGGGACUGAGACACGGCCCAGACUCCUACGGGAGGCAGCAGUCGGGAAUUUUGCUCAAUGGGGGAAACCCUGAAGCAGCAACGCCGCGUGAGGGAUGAAGGCCUUCGGGUUGUAAACCUCUUUUGUCAGGGACGAUGAUGACGGUACCUGGCGAAUAAGCCACGGCUAACUACGUG